rnacentral:rRNA from 1 species
CAAUAGCGUAUAUUAAAGUUGUUGCAGUUAAAAAGCUCGUAGUUGGAUUUCUGGUGGGAGCGAUCGGUCUGGCGCUUAGCGCGAGUACUUGCAUCGUCUCCGGCCAUCCUUGGGGAGGGUCUGUCUGGCAUUAGGUUGUCGGGCAGAGGAUCCUCAUCGUUUACUGUGAAAAAAUUAGAGUGUUCAAAGCAGGCUUAUGCCGUUGAAUAUAUUAGCAUGGAAUAAUAAGAUAGGACUUUGGUACUAUUUUGUUGGUUUGCGCACCAAAGUAAUGAUUAAUAGGGACAGUUGGGGGUAUUCGUAUUCCGUUGUCAGAGGUGAAAUUCUUGGAUUUACGGAAGACGAACUACUGCGAAAGCAUUUACCAAGGAUGUUUUCAUUAA